AAUAUAGAGUUUAUUACCAAAUCUAUGACGGUUAAGCAUUUGGUCCGGAUACAAGUUCAUGAUUAAGAACUGAUGUAACAGUUCCAUUCAUUGGAAAUGUUCCCAAGGAUACGGUGGCCCAUAAGGGACAUGAUUUAUCACAUAUUUGUGUGACAAAUUGUUAAUUUGCAAAAGGUUAUGAUAAAAGUAAGUGAAAUAUCAAAAUAUUGAAAAACAGACUCCAUGUCCCUUAUGGGCCACAGUACAAGGACGAUGCCCGACCACCAUUAACACCAAAGAUGACUUUGUCAUGAAGCACAAUAAUAUGUCACUGAGCAGAGGGUCCACAACAACCAAUCUUCUCGGUGGACGGCAUCUAAAUGUGUACAAAUUCAUUGAGAUACUGCAGGUUAAGCAGGAUGAUACUGCGAUCACAAUCCAGCUAGUGUGAUGCCAACCAAAAAGAAGUUUCGAAACCUGGACCAUGCCUAUGACAGGGAGAAGAGACAACCUCUCGCCGACCAGACACAAGUGAACUCCAACUCCAGUGUAGGCAGUACGAAGUAUGACCCGGACCUCCUCUGGCGCGGAAAAGUGUGGCUCGACUCAAAAAUGAACUGGAGCAGAUUCGGGCGGAAAUGCAGUACAAGGAGAGAGGCGUGGAGACACUGACAAGGGUGGACCAGAAGCUGGCGGGACUGGGCGGAGGAUACAAUGUGACGCAAGCCCAAGCCAUCAUCGCAGAGAUCCGACAGUUGCAGCAACAUGUCAACACUGGCGAGAAGGAAAAAAUGGACCUCAUGCAGAUGUAUUAAAGCUGCACCCCUCCUUUCC